AUAUUUUUAGACCGGAGGUUGCCGCUUGGUUCAAACACGAAAUUUUCGCAAUUGUAACUAAAGGAUGCAAGCUAUCUUCUAUGGGGAAUUAUAGAUAAAACUAAAUAACUUUAAACAGGUGUUUCCAUCUAAUGUGUCUUAACCUCAUUAAAGCAGUGUCUGUACCACAGAAGGUAACACUUACCUGCCAAUAACAGUGUAGUAAGGAGAAACUAUGAGCUUUUCUGACCACCUAGUGCUGGCUGGUUCUCAGCUUGUUUACGUAUUACGUACUAGUGGCCGCUAACCAGCUAACCAGCUAACCAGCUAGCUGACUGCAAGGAGUACCACUGUCACCACUUGCCUGACCAUGUGUUUGGAUGAAAGUUACUCAGCAACUUGGUGGUGUGACCGGAUACUGUAAUGAGAAAGGUGUUGUUAGUUGCCUUAAUGUUACAACUAGCAAUUCCUAACAGGUUUUCCCCCUUUUAAGAGGAAAACAGAAAUGGAAAUCACCUGCAGACCUUUUUGUGGACUGGAAUGGGAUCUAACAGUGACUAACACAUUCUAAGAAAAUGCUGUGUCAGGGUGUCUGACUGUCCAAGAACAGUCAACCAAUCUGCCCUGCUGACACAGAGGAGGGCUUUACAGGCUUCUGUGAUUUCUUGUGGGGAAUCACAACCUGAGGAUACAAAGUGGACCACUGAAACCCGUUGUAAAUGUGACUUCCAAAAAUAACUUAAAGUGAUUGACAUGUUCCACAAUUUUUGGACUUAAUAA